GGAAAUGUGUAGCUAGCAAUGGGCAUUACUUUGAGUAAAGCACUUUUGAUGUUUCUCUUGAUAUUAUCGUGUUUUCUUUGAUUACAAAAUCUGUAUUACUAACCAGGACACCUGGUAUAUAUAAGUAGAAGGUACUUCACCGAAUGGCAACAAUAAGGGUAAAACUGGUAAGUAAUUUUGGGGAGCAUUAUUAUUAUUUAGAGUGUAUUUGUGACCUAAAUAUAACAAUUUCCUAUUGGCAUAUUAAGUAAAUAUAUUAUGUGAUAGGUACCAGUAUCUGAGUUACUGUCACAUAAUCUUUAGUUCUUUUGUAACUCCAUAGCUAAAUACUUCACUUUAAUUUUGAAGGGGAAACAAUUUGUAAAGCUUACUUCAUAUUUUUGAUGUAGCUCACGGACAGCCUAGGAAUCUUCAAUUCAAAAAUUUUAAGAGAGUUUAAGAACACUUUUUUGGUUUCCUUAUUUUUAAAAAAACUAAGAAGUAAUAUGACCACAUUAGGGAAAAUUUCAAAAACUGAAAAAGAAUAAAAUUUGUCAAAAGUUUUACUAUCUAAUACAACCACAGCUGAUAUUUUAAAAAUUUUGUUCUUUAUGUAUCCUAAAAAUAUAGAAUGUAAUUCUGUGUGUACAAAAUUUUGUUAAGUUUUUUCCACCAAACUAGAUUGAAUGUACCUAGGUAUAUAAAUACUUUAUGACUCUUAUAUAGUGCCAAUGUACUUUUCUUUUAUUAAAAAAUUUAUUGAUUGGCUUAUUGGUGUGCUGAUUUUUUAAAAUGUGAUUUCUUUUGCUAUCCACAGCAUGAUGAAGUAAUGUCAAAUGAAAUAAACAUCCUUAAGGAAAGCAGUGAACUGGCCACAGAUCACAAAAAAGAAUUAUCCAAAAGGUGAGGAUUAAAACAACAACAACAAAAACAAGUUUCCUUCAAAGCACAGAAUCCAUUAAAGAAAAGAGUCCCCGGCUGGUGUGGUGCAAUGGUUGAGUGUUGACCUAUGAACCAGGAGGUCAUGGUUUGAAUCCCAGUCCAUUGAUAUUUUCUCUCU